AUUCCAUUCCCCGCCUCGCGCGCCGCGAUCCACGUGGAUGUCACUUCUGGAGUCGCGGUCAGCAUCUGAGAGGAUAACUGAGGGCACGGGUUAGAGGCUGCGAGGUCCGGCGGAGAUGGCUUGUCCGGUCAUUCAGUUAUCUUCUAACGCGCCCAUCCCCCUCCCUGGCCACGGGCCCUGCCGCCUCUGCAGCAGCGUCGUUCUUCCCGCAGUGUGGUUCUUCCACUUGCUGCCGCACAUCUGUCCCCGCGCCGACAGCUGAGCUGGUGGCGGCUGUGGCUUUCCCUGCAAAGCCCAACUGCAGAAGUCCCGAGCAGGCCACUCGGACACUGCCCAAACUGACUAAAGAAGACUGAUCGUCUCAGAGACCGCCAUCUCUGGCCAGCAAUCCGACCAGCAGUCGCCCUGCGUCCGCGGAGCGUGGGCCCUGGGAAGAAGAGACAAAGGCAAAGGACUAACUUUCCCUCCAAAGGAAGUUUAAAUGAGAGCUGACCGGAGGAUGACCGAAAUGAAUCUGCCAGGUGAUUGGAAGACGAAUAAGUGACUGUCAGGUUCUUGUUGAACCCCUAUGUGUGUUACCACAUUUAGGCCAUCUCUGAGGCAGUUAGUGAGAGCCUUCACCCAUUUUACAGAUGCGAAUUGACACAGAGCCUAAGGAAGUGGCAUGGGAUCACAUAGUGGAUCCUGGUUUAUCCAACAUGAAACCCGAAGUUUUUGGUCAUCACUCUGUACCAUAACACCAAGAUUGCUAGAGUUUUAAGAGGGCUGAUCUGUUCCCUGGUGCACCAGAAGGGAGAGUUGGGGGAGGCGUGUCAGGGAAAACAGAAUUUUGUCCUGGGCAGCAUCUCAACCACAUGAAGCCAGAUUGCUUAGUAAACAGUGUUAUUCCUUUGAUCUCUAAGUCGUUGCCUCAUAAAAGUCGUUGCCACAUCUGCCUCCAUCCACGUGGACACCACAACACUUCUAAUCCUACAGAAGCCAGAUAUUCUAUACAUAUUCUAUGCAGCUGCCCCUAAGGCACCAGAGGAGCACUCCUCUCUAACCCUUAAAAAUCUUCAGGCCAAGAAUUCUCUUUGACUCUGGGUGAUUCUAGGACAAAGUCAGAGUUCUGACCCUACUAGGGCAAGUACAGAACUUUGGAACCAGUCUGAUCU
rnacentral:lncRNA from 1 species